ensembl:lncRNA
AUGUGGUGUAUGAAUAAAACGGACUUCAUUUUAUCUUCACACACAGCAGCGUUCAUGAAUACAACCCACAACGUCGCCCAGUUCAUUUUUUUCAGUUCACAAAGACUGCCAUUCCCAUCAGCGAGUGUUGAACCUCAUCCUCUCUGUCUGCUGCUGUCAUCGGAUACAUCACAGCUCAGCGGAGUAGCGGUAUCCCGCCAAGGUAUUUCUCAGCGCUGUUGUAACGACAAACCUUUCUUUGCCCUCCGACCCACAGCGCUCGGUCCCCAGACACACGGUAGCAGAGUAAUUCCAGAUGAAGGGAGUCUGUGGCGGGAAAGAGGCGUCGCUGUCAUCGCCUCAAUUCUGGGUUCCAAUCCCAGGAAAACCAGCAACCGUAGCAGUCGUGAGCAUCCAUGCAGAUUGUUCACAAUUAUCGGUGUCUGUUUAAAAAGCGGUUUCCAUACUUUAAGGUCACCCGCAGAUUUGCUGACAAAUCAAAUCCAUUACUUAAAACACUACCACGUGUUGCAUUGAAAAGAGGCAGUUUAACUUUUCCUCUCUCAGAGUUCGCUUCUGUGAAAAUCUACGUGCAAUACAGUGUGCGUUUAAGGCUACUGAGUCCACAGUAUCCAAUGACCCGGGUGACCUUUGGGAAGACGAGACAUACCCAAAAAAAAGCUUUAGUCCCAGAGGCAAAUAAACAACGGUCUUGAAAGUAAUCAUUGAAUCUGGAGCAGUCACGUUCUUGCACUUAAUUCUCUUACGUUUGUAGGAGAAAUCCUGAUGAGAUGGCGUCAACUGCUGUGAGGACACAUAAGCUCCACAAGUUAUGUAAUAUUACCUCCUCUUAAAAUUUGUCAAUGAAAACGAUUGGCAAACUUUUCUUUUUCAAGGCGUUCCUUAAGACGCUCUGAGGUACCAAUGUUUCCAUGACUCAGAUGCCGGCUACGUUACUUUUCGUUUCUGGGCGGGCUGAGUCGGCUUGAGGUAAAAGUUGAAGAGGUUGUAGAACAGUUCUAUUUGUCUCCAUGUGUCAUUUUUAUUCUAUUUACUAUAAAGAGAAAGUAUCCAUUUCCUAACUUUUGGGUAAAACAAAUUAUUGUUUCCCCCAAAGUUUCAAACUAUUCCUUUAAAGUUAAGAGUUUUCAAAAUGUUUGUCCGCACUACAAUAUUUUUUUCAUUUACCCCAUCUAUUUACCCAAUGUUGUUUUGCAAUAAAUGCAAACUCCAGUUUAUUUUUUUUUAAACCUCCAAUUUAGAAGGGGAAGAGAGUAGAAAUGCUAAUUUUUCUACUAAAAUAUAAAAAAUGACAGAUAAAUGGC